GGGGAUGUAGCUCAAUUGGUAGAGUGUGAAAAUAAGCAUGAUUCAAGGUACGGGGUUCAACUCCUCGCAUCUCCA
rnacentral:tRNA from 1 species